rnacentral:rRNA from 1 species
CUACGUGCCAGCAGCCGCGGUAAUACGUAGGUCCCGAGCGUUGUCCGGAUUUAUUGGGCGUAAAGCGAGCGCAGGCGGUUUGAUAAGUCUGAAGUUAAAGGCUGUGGCUCAMCCAUAGUUCGCUUUGGAAACUGUCAAACUUGAGUGCAGAAGGGGAGAGUGGAAUUCCAUGUGUAGCGGUGAAAUGCGUAGAUAUAUGGAGGAACACCGGUGGCGAAAGCGGCUCUCUGGUCUGUAACUGACGCUGAGGCUCGAAAGCGUGGGGAGCGAACAGGAUUAGAUACCCUGGUAGUCCACGCCGUAAACGAUGAGUGCUAGGUGUUGGAUCCUUUCCGGGAUUCAGUGCCGCAGCUAACGCAUUAAGCACUCCGCCUGGGGAGUACGACCGCAAGGUUGAAACUCAAAGGAAUUGACGGGGGCCCGCACAAGCGGUGGAGCAUGUGGUUUAAUUCGAAGCAACGCGAAGAACCUUACCAGGUCUUGACAUCCCGAUGCUAUUUCUAGAGAUAGAAAGUUAYU